AAAAAUGAUAAAGUUUUAUUUUUAUUUUCUAAUCUUUGCUUGUCUAAUUUUUUCUUUAAUCAGUACCUUAUCAGCCAAUAAAUGUGAAGAAGGUUGGUUUGGCUCUGAAUGUCAAUAUAAAUGUCGUUGUCAACAAUCGUGUAAUCCCGAAGGUGAAUGUCCAGAUAAAUGUGAAGAUGGUUGGUUUGGUUACAAGUGCCAAUACCGUUUAAUUCAAUACCUGGCUACAAAAAACAAAUCUCAAGAGGAUGUUACUACCAUUUUAAAUGAUGACGACGAGACAACUUGUACCGAACUCAAUACAGAAACUUUAGUUGUUAAUCUUAAAAACAUUUAUUUUGACCCAUGGAUUCGCUUGUCUACACAGAAACCAGAAACUCUAUACAGUUUCAAGAUGUCUUAUCUGGACGAAAACUACAAAACUCUAGCUGCAAAAUCAAAGAAAAACAUUUUAGUCAGAGAUAACACUUUAGAUGCUUACAUUUCCUUAGAUGAUGUUUAUUUACAUUAUCUAAUUUUAAAGAGUAAUGUGUUACAGCGAAUUUGCUCGUUAUGGAUUAAUCUUGGUCAAAAUGUUGCGGUAAAACAGAAAGUUUACUACAGUCAUUCAAAAAUAAGUCAGUUAAACACAAGCCUACCUCAGUAUCCUCAAGCUACAAAUGACGUGCAGAAAUGUAACAAAAAAGAUGCAGAAAUUGUGGCCACGAAUUGGAUGAUAAUAAUGAAUCCUUCAUUUUCAAUCAAGAAAUACAGAUUUUUUUUUCAAGACAUACUUGGUAAGUAUUUGCCUUGCAAUUCAUCUUUAUAAUCUCUUUUUACUUUGAUGUAUAUAAAAUCGUUGCAUCUUUAAUGCGAGUCGAAUUUUGAGAAUUCGUUUUACUGCGAAUAGAUUUUUUAUAA